rnacentral:tRNA from 1 species
GGGCGGUUAGUUCAGCGGGAGAGUGUUCGGCUUACACCCGAGAAGACGGCGGUUCGAACCCGUCACCGCCCA